rnacentral:rRNA from 1 species
UACGGAGGAUGCAAGCGUUAUCCGGAAUGAUUGGGCGUAAAGCGUCCGCAGGUGGCUGUGUAAGUCUGCUGUUAAAGAGUGAGGCUCAACCUCAUAAGAGCAGUGGAAACUACAUAGCUAGAGUACGUUCGGGGCAGAGGGAAUUCCUGGUGUAGCGGUGAAAUGCGUAGAGAUCAGGAAGAACACCAGUGGCGAAGGCGCUCUGCUAGGCCGUAACUGACACUGAGGGACGAAAGCUAGGGGAGCGAAUGGG